rnacentral:tRNA from 1 species
AAGUUUAGGUUAGAUAAAACCAGACGCCUUCAAAGCGCCAAACAGGGAGCUUACCCUAACUUUUG